CUCAGACAGACAUUCUAACAUAUUUUACUGAAGUGUGGACGUAAGACCUGAAAUGGAUUGGAAGAGAAUUGUCAUUUCCAAAACUCAUCAGCUCUGAUUCCACAGUUUUCACUGAAACGGUGCCUUUAUCUUCACGGAGCUGAGAUGAAGCGGGAUGAAAAUGAGUUGACUUUCAGCCACGCAGUUACGCACGCCACCUCGCGACAUGUAUCUCAAUCUUCACCACGGCGCUCUCAGCACCUCAUAACGACCUCCUGACGCGCCUUAAGGAGGUGACAAAAGACGCUCUGAUUGACUCCUAUCUUGCACAAACCCAAGGCAGGAUUUACGUCUUUCUCUUUUUUUUCUUCAUUUUGGUUCUGCUUUGUUUUGUUUCUUAUUCUUAAUUUUGUUUCUUUCUUUUUGCGUUUUUUUUUUCUUUCUUUCUUUCUUUCUUUUCUUUGUGAUGAUUUGAUGUUGAUUAUCAAUGGUAGUUCUUGCUGUAGUAGUAAUGAUAAAGACAAAUGAGGAUGAGUUAGACAGUAAUUACGGAGCUAAUGAUGAUGAUAAUUACUCUACCCAUGGUCAACGCUAUUCUGUUUGAUUACCGAAGCCAAAUGACCCCAAGAGGUUAAUUAAAA